rnacentral:rRNA from 1 species
GGAGUUUGGACCGUGUCUCAGUUCCAAUGUGGCCGAUCACCCUCUCAGGUCGGCUACUGAUCGUCGCCUUGGUGGGCCGUUACCUCACCAACCAGCUAAUCAGACGCAGGCCCAUCCCUUGCCGAUAAAUCUUUGGCGGCUCUGAAAUGCUACAGAACCGCAUUAUCAGGUAUUAAUCACCGUUUCCAGUGGCUAUCCCUGUGCAAGGGGCAGGUUGCCUACGCGUUACUCACCCGUCCGCCGCUUUCCAUCCAUGAAAUCAUCCGAAGAAUCAAUCAAGGAUUUCUCGCUCGACUUGCAUGUAUUAGGCACGCCGCCAGCGUUCAUC